UUUUCAGGUAGUUUAAAAAGAACAAAACUUUGAAGAAGUUUUAGUAGAGAAUUCUUCUGGAA
rnacentral:tRNA from 1 species